rnacentral:rRNA from 1 species
AGGAUGAACGCUGGCGGUCUGCUUAACACAUGCAAGUCGAACGGAGUAGCAAUACUUAGUGGCGGACGGGUGAGUAACGCGUGAGAAUCUACCUUCAGGACGGAGACAACAGUUGGAAACGACUGCUAACCCCCGAUGUACCGAAAGGGCAAAUAUUUAUAGCCUGAAGAAGAGCUCGCGUCCGAUUAGCUAGUUGGAGAGGUAAAAGCUCACCAAGGCGACGAUCGGUAGCUGGUCUGAGAGGAUGAUCAGCCACAAUGGGACUGAGACACGGCCCAUACUCCUACGGGAGGCAGCAGUGGGGAAUUUUACGCAAUGGGCGAAAGCCUGACGUAGCGACACCGCGUGAACGAAGAAGCCUCUUGGGGUGUAAAGUUCUGUCAGCUGGAACGAAAAAAAAUGACGGUACCAGCAGAGGAAGCAUCGGCUAACUACGUGCCAGCAGCCGC